UGAACAGAUUAUUCUAUUUGACUAUAUUCAUGGCGUGGAAUGGGGGAUUACACUGUUUUUAAAUGGAAAAUGAAUAAAUUAACAUAAUAGACUCAU
rnacentral:pre_miRNA from 1 species